rnacentral:rRNA from 1 species
GAUGAACGCUGGCGGCGUGCCUAAUACAUGCAAGUCGAGCGAACAGACGAGAAGCUUGCUCCUCUGAUGUUAGCGGCGGACGGGUGAGUAACACGUGGAUAACCUACCUAUAAGACUGGGAUAACUUCGGGAAACCGGAGCUAAUACCGGAUAAUAUUUUGAACCGCAUGGUUCAAUAGUGAAAGACGGUCUUGCUGUCACUUAUAGAUGGAUCCGCGCCGCAUUAGCUAGUUGGUAAGGUAACGGCUUACCAAGGCAACGAUGCAUAGCCGACCUGAGAGGGUGAUCGGCCACACUGGAACUGAGACACGGUCCAGACUCCUACGGGAGGCAGCAGUAGGGAAUCUUCCGCAAUGGGCGAAAGCCUGACGGAGCAACGCCGCGUGAGUGAUGAAGGUCUUCGGAUCGUAAAACUCUGUUAUUAGGGAAGAACAAAUGUGUAAGUAACUAUGCACGUCUUGACGGUACCUAAUCAGAAAGCCACGGCUAACUACGUG